UCUCUCUGAAUCUGCGAACGGCUCCGCAAACCAGUUGUAACACGCGGCGAGCUGGCAUUGGGGUACUGUACGGGUUCGGCCCCACCUUCGGGCGGCGGCCGGCCCUGCGGUCCCCUUUGUCACAUGGACACCCCUGGCAAUUCUGAGGCUAAUACAAGAUUCGUACCACCUGGGCCGUCCCGCACCCACGCUCCCCCCCGGGUAACACCGGGGGGUGCGCGUGGGAUGUGGGCGACCCGGGGGCUGUGCCGGGUAACGCAGAUAACUAUGACUAGCGGCAAUGUUCAUGCAGGACCACCUUACCCAGGGUCGGUGCCCCCCUCCUUUCCCGUGCGUGCCUUCCCCUAACCGGGUCGGCACGCGUGGGUCAGGCAGCCGGGGGUCCUUCCCGGUGGCUCUCGCAAUAGGCUUCUGACCUAUCAACUAGACCGCAGGGCAAUGUCCACGCCGUGGUGACAACGGGUACAGAGGAUAAGGGUUUGAUCCUGGAGAGUGGGCCUGAGAGAUU
rnacentral:rRNA from 1 species